UCUGGCUCAAUGAUGAGUAACUUUUUGCCGUUUACCCAACAGAAUGUCUGUGGUGAAACUUUUCUAUUCUGAAAAGCCUGA